rnacentral:lncRNA from 1 species
CUUCCAGCUGGGGGCCGCGCAGUCAACCGCCGAGUGGUGGCGCACAGCGCUCGCUUAAGCGGGAAGGAAGGGAGGUGCUGGACUUGCAGUGAUUGGCAGGCAGAAAUGGGGCGUAGAUAAGGCAGGUUUUCUGAGAGAUGAUUGGCUGAAUUGGCUCGGGGGCGGGAGAAGAGAAGACUCGGCCGGGGAUUCGUGGAAGUAGAGCGGAAGUCGGCAGCUGACGCGGUUGAUCCGAGUGUGAAGAGAAGGGAGCAGCGUUUGCGGCAUCGGCGUCUGUCAGCAGGCGUAGGCGGGACCACCGUCGCCCCCUGUCUGGAAGACUCGAGGGGCCUCCGCACUCCCGUCAGUCCAGCGGCAACAAACCUAAUGUUACACUUUUCUAUAGAAACCACUUUAAAUAUAUAUAUAUUAAAUGUAAUGUACUAUAGCCACAAUAUCAUUUCAACAUGUGAUCUGUAUUAAAAAAAACACGAACCUGAGGUAUCUUUUGUUACCUAGUACUAAAGGUUUGAAAACCUGUGUGUUUUACACGUUACACCACAUCUGUGAUCCGGACGCUAGGUUUUCACCGGAAAUAGUUGAGGUUUCACAAAUAUUUACAGUUGAAAUGGAGAUUCACAUGCCCAAAUGUUUCCCAACAUACGUUAAAAUUUCCCAUGAACUCAAUCUCAUGUCGGUGAUAAGUGGAAAUAUUAAUUGAUGAAAGUUAAGCGACGUGGAAUGUUCUGUUUCACAGUGGCACUAGCCACAUUCAGGUGCUUGUCAUCCCCUGUGGCUUCCGAUAUUGGAUAGCCAAUACCAACUUCAGCCAAACUGACCUUUUUUUUUUUUUUUCCAUAAAAUCCGACGUGACAGCCCCAACCUCUUUUCUGGUGCCUCCUUGUUAUUCAAGUCUUUUCUCAGAUGUCUUCUUCAGAAAAUCCAAGAGCCCCCCGAACAACAUUCAAAUUCGUAGAACAUAAGCUUGAACGGUAUAUUUCAAGCCACUGGCCUUUCUUAUCGGAGAAGGCAAUGGCAC